rnacentral:rRNA from 1 species
AUUGAACGCUGGCGGCAUGCUUUACACAUGCAAGUCGAACGGUAACAGGCCGCAAGGUGCUGACGAGUGGCGAACGGGUGAGUAAUGCAUCGGAACGUGCCCAGUCGUGGGGGAUAACGCAGCGAAAGCUGUGCUAAUACCGCAUACGAUCUGUGGAUGAAAGCGGGGGACCGUAAGGCCUCGCGCGAUUGGAGCGGCCGAUGUCAGAUUAGGUAGUUGGUGGGGUAAAGGCUCACCAAGCCGACGAUCUGUAGCUGGUCUGAGAGGACGACCAGCCACACUGGGACUGAGACACGGCCCAGACUCCUACGGGAGGCAGCAGUGGGGAAUUUUGGACAAUGGGCGCAAGCCUGAUCCAGCAAUGCCGCGUGCAGGAAGAAGGCCUUCGGGUUGUAAACUGCUUUUGUACGGAGCGAAAAGGCUCUCUCUAAUACAGGGGGCUCAUGACGGUACCGUAAGAAUAAGCACCGGCUAACUACGUGCCAGCAGCCGCCGUAA